AUAGAUAGAUAGAUAGAUAGAUAGAUUCAGUAGAUAUAUAGAUACAGUAGAUAGAUAGAUGAUAGAUAGAUUCAAUAGAUAGAUAGAUAGAUAGAUAGACAGAUAGAUAGAUUCAGUAGAUAUAUAGAUACAGUAGAUAGACAGAUAGAUAGAGAGAGAGAGAGAUAGAUAGAUAAAUAGAUAGAGAAAGAAAGAAAGAAAGAAAGAAAGAAAGAUGGACCUGCAGCCUGCACUAAUAAAAGGCUCCCCUACAUUAGGAUAGUACACAUUGUGCACACAACUAGUGUUUAUACUGGUUGCUAUGGGCCCCCAAAUCACUUGGCCCUGGUCCUGCUGCACCAAUGGUAGUUCUACCCCUGUGCACAGUCUCAUUUUCAGCUAGAUAUUUGUACUGGCUUCAAUCAAAAGAGAUAAAAUAAACAUAUUCAUUAUAGUUCUCUAA